GAUGAACGCUAGCGGCAGGCCUAAUACAUGCAAGCCGAACGGCAAGUUUGAUAGCAAUAUUGGACCUAGAGUGGCGCAAGGGUGCGUAACACGUAUGCAACCUGCCCGCGACAGGAGGAUAGCUCCCCGAAAGGGGAAUUAACCCUCCAUAACACCAUGAGAAGGCAUCUGAUUAUGGUUAAACCGCAAGGGGUCGCGGAUGGGCAUGCGGUUGAUUAGCUAGUUGGCGGGGUAAAGGCCCACCAAGGCGGUGAUCAAUAGGGGUUCUGAGAGGAAGGUCCCCCACACUGGCACUGGGAUACGGGCCAGACUCCUACGGGAGGCAGCCGUAGGGAAUAUUGGACAAUGGUUGCAAGACUGAUCCAGCCAUGCCGCGUGCAGGAAGAAGGCCUUCUGGGUCGUAAACUGCUUUUUCCUGUGGAUAAAAUACCCGGGCGCGGGGAAUUGAAGGUAACAGGGGAAUAAGCCACGGCUAACUACGUG
rnacentral:rRNA from 1 species